rnacentral:misc_RNA from 1 species
GAAAUGCGAUAACUAGUGUGAAUUGCAGAAUUCCGUGAAUCAUCGAGUCUUUGAACGCACAUUGCGCCCCCUGGUAUUCCGGGGGGCAUGCCUGUCCGAGCGUCAUUGCUGCCCAUCGAGCACGGCUUGUGUGUUGGGUCGUCGUCCCCUCUCCGGGGGGGACGGGCCCCAAAGGCAGCGGCGGCACCGCGUCCGAUCCUCGAGCGUAUGGGGCUUUGUCACCCGCUCUGUAGGCCCGGCCGGCGCUUGCCGAACGCAAAUCAAUCUUUUUCCAGGUUGACCUCGGAUCAGGUAGGGAUACCCGCUGAACUUAAGC